CGGCUACUACAUCCAAGGAAGGCAGCAGGCGCGCAAAUUACCCAAUCCCGACACGGGGAGGUAGUGACAAUAAAUACUGAUACAGGGCUCUUUUGGGUCUUGUAAUUGGAAUGAGUACAAUUUAAAUCCCUUAACGAGGAACAAUUGGAGGGCAAGUCUGGUGCCAGCAGCCGCGGUAAUUCCAGCUCCAAUAGCGUAUAUUAAAGUUGUUGUGGUUAAAAAGCUCGUAGUUGAACCUUGGGCCUGGCUGGCCGGUCCGCCUCACCGCGUGCACUGGUCCGGCCGGGCCUUUCCCUCUGUGGAACCCCAUGCCCUUCACUGGGUGUGGCGGGGAAACAGGACUUUUACUUUGAAAAAAUUAGAGUGCUCCAGGCAGGCCUAUGCUCGAAUACAUUAGCAUGGAAUAAUGAAAUAGGACGUGCGGUUCUAUUUUGUUGGUUUCUAGGACCGCCGUAAUGAUUAAUAGGGACAGUCGGGGGCAUCAGUAUUCAAUUGUCAGAGGUGAAAUUCUUGGAUUUAUUGAAGACUAACUACUGCGAAAGCAUUUGCCAAGGAUGUUUUCAUUAAUCAGGAACGAAAGUUAGGGGAUCGAAGACGAUCAGAUACCGUCGUAGUCUUAACCAUAAACUAUGCCGACUA
rnacentral:rRNA from 1 species